UAGGGUCGAAACUACCAAGUCCUAGCCGAGGUAGGACGAAAUCCGUCCUUGGGCGUCUCGCUUGGCGCUUGACGCCAACCUGGACACUGAAAUUUUUCUACUUUUUUGCUCUGCUGCCCUUGGAAUUUUGGUUGGUGCCUGGCGCGAACAUGGGCACCAAAGUUAUACUCCCUCCAAAUUCUUCCGUUUUUACUUCAAUUUGCAUGCAAGCUUUCCCAAAUCACUUCCAGUUGACUCCUAUAUAUAUAAAUACUAUUAUUAAGCUCGAGUUACAAAUAUUCACACCAAAGUUAAUAAAAUCGAGACAUAAUGCAAGAAAAUUACAUAUAAAAAUAUGAAUUUUUAGCCUAACAACAUCAAGGUAGGCUAAAUCUAUUGAGUAAAAAUGCCAACCCUUACCUUGCUCUAGAUGGAUACUAUAAGAGGUAUCCAAUACCUUUUAGAAGCCAAGAGAAUCAUGAAUUCAUGCUUCUACAAUCCUUGUGCAUGUCUCUAACUCUGGAUUUUACUCGAUAUUUCUUGCUCUUGGCAUUAGAGGUGGAUCUAGGAUUCUAGAACAUGAGAUGCACCACAAAAAAAAGUAUAAAGUGGGAAUUGAUCUCUAUUCUUUUAGGUAAAUAACUAAAUCUUUAUUCAAGUGUACUAUUCAAUCUUUUGAGUGCAUGUGAGGCAGUAGAUAAUAUUAGAUCACUGCUAAAAAAUAUGUACAUAAAAUAUCUAAUUUAACAGAGAAACUAUGGGUUCACGUACACCAUAAAUUGAAUAAUAAAUCCGCCCCUGCUUGGCAUGACCAAGAAAUAUGACAACAUAGUUGGCAUCAUUACACUUUUUAUUUGGAGGCUGGCGCGCCUUCAUUAUCCGCAUGAAACAUGAGUUCUCACGUACUAGUGAUUCCGCUUUACAAUGCAUAAAUCAGUUCACUCAUGUCUUUAUUGCAAAUAAUGAUCUUCAACCAUGUCUGUUGAUGAGAUGAAUAACACCAAAAAGAAAUUUUUAUGUUCAUGAUAGAUAUGUGGAAUAGAGAUUCUUAAAAACACCUUUCUCUUUUCCAGUGCACAUAAGCAACAACCUACUCGAGGCUAAUACACCAUGGCAUGCGUAUUCUGUAAAUUUUGUUAUUAAUCGAAGCGAUUAAUGCUGAUGUUUAAAGAAGGAAAUAAUUAGGUUGCUUAAGGCUCGGAGAAAAGCACAGAAGUCAUAUCGUAUCAAAUCCGUACGAGAUUGAAUUUUAGACCACUAGAGAUGUGUAAUAUACUAGAAUUUUGUAAUAGAAUUUGAAAGAAAUAAUGGAAAGAAUAGGAUUUCUUUAUUGAUUUGUAAUAGAAUUGAGAUUGUUACAAUGUAUUUCUAUAAUCGAACAACAUUGACGCCAUUGUUAUACCUGAAAUAAGGAGAAGAGAAAGUGGUUAGAAAUGAGAGAGAGAGAGAGAUAUAGGUAGAGAGAGAAUUGGUUAGGAGUUGUAACUGAAAUUUACCAGAAUUAGUCUCAUUCUUCCUUCCUUCUUCUGCGUAUUAAUACUCCUCACUUAAGCUGAAUUAUUAAUUGGGCUAUUUGUAAAUGGUCCUGCUCUAUUCUAUCUCCGUUGGCCCAGUAAUUGUAAGACCAAUUGAGCCCCAGAGCUUAAUCUGGUCCACUUAUGAUACAACCCUCAAUAUAGAAAUAAGGUCCCCAUAUAGAAAUAUCCGCCUACUUUCCUAAUUCAUUUCUUCAGACAUUACAAUCCCUACCUCUCCAAGAACGACCUUGUCCUCAAGGUCUUUGUUGAGCAACAAAAUCAGGAAAUCUGCUUUUGAUAUAUCUCCAAUCCUCCCAAGUGGCAUCAUCCUCCCUUAAAUUUGCCCAAUGAAUUAGAACUUUCACCCCCACACCAUUAUUUUCCUUCGCAAUACGCCUUUAAAGGAUUGCAACAGGUUGAAUCAAGAUUUAUCCUUCGUUAUCACAAAUUGGUGGCUGUGGCUGUGGAGUAAUGGAUGGACCAACACGCUUCUUCAACUGAGAGAUGUGAAAGACAAAAUGCAGCUGAGACCCUUUAGGAAGCUCUAACCGGUAAGCCACUGUUUUGAUUCUUUGCAUGACCUUGUAAGGUCCAUAAAAAUGAGCACAUAACUUGACAUUUCUCCUGACAUCGAUGGAAGACUGUCGAUAUGGCUGUAGCUUAAGGUAGACUAGAUUUCCAAUCUCCAAUACUCGGUCAGAUCUUAGCUUGUCAGCAUAGAACUUCAUUCUACAUUGAGCCUGUGUAAAAUUGUCUCGUAAGGACUGUAACAUCUGUUGUCUCUGAACUAAGCACUCUCGAGUUGACUGAUGACCAGUUUGUGGUAAGGACCCCAACGGAAGUUGUGGAGGAUCAUACCCAUAGAUUGCCUAAAAAAGUGUAGUCUUGAUGGAGUUGUGAUAGUUGGUGUUGUACCACCAUUCCACCGAGUGUAGCCAUUUUCCCCACUGCUUAGGAUUAUUGAAGACCAUAGCUCUCAAAUAAGUUUCCAUGCACCUGUUAAGUCGCUCUGUUUGUCCAUCAGAUUGAGGGUGGUAAGCAGUGCUCAUGUUGAGCUUAGUGCCCAAAGUUUUAAAGAGAUGUUGCCAGAAGUGGCUGGUGAAAAUAACAUCUCUGUUCGAGACAAUAGUCCUUGGCAAUCCAUGUAACCUGUAGAUUUCCUUAAGAAAUAAUUCAGAAACAUCUUGGGCUGUAUAGGGGUGUUUGAGUGCCAGGAAGUGCCCAUAUUUGGCUAAUCUAUCCACUACUACCAAGACUGCAUUUUUGUGCCCAAAAUUGGGUAGACCUUCUACAAAGUCUAAUGAUAUGUCUUGCCAAGCCUGUGUGGGUAUAUGGAGGGGUUGUAGAAGCCCAGGUGGGUGAAUGUUUUCUGAUUUAACUCUUUGACACACAUCACACUCACUUACCCAUUUGCAUUUCUCUGUCUUCAUGUUUGGCCAAUAGAACAUAGAUUGUAUUCUUCUAUAGGUGCCUUGUUGGCCUGAGUGCCCUCCAAUAGGUGACUGAUGCAAGACCUCCAAAAUCUUGGUUUUCAAAGUAGUGCUUCUUCCAAUGUAUAUCUUGUGUUUAUACCUUAUGGCCCCUUGUUGCAAUGAAUAAUCUGGAAUGUUGGAGGGAGAAAUUGAUAGUUCACUGAGUAGUUGUGAGGCUAAAGGGUUUGAUUCAUAGCUUUCACAUACUUCUUCAAUCCAUGUAGCCUGAGUGGUGGAAAGGGAUAAGAGUGUAGAGUCUUUCUCAUUUCUUCUGGAUAAAGCAUCUACUACCUUAUUUUCUACUCCCUUUUUUAUAUUGAACCUCAUAAUCCAAUCCCAUAAGCUUUGUUAGGCCCUUCUGUUGUAAUGCUGUAGUUACCUUCUGCUCUAGUAAGUACUUUAAACUCUGAUGGUUUGUCUUCACAAUGAAAUGUCCUCCUUGUAAGUAGUGUCUCCAUUUGUCUAUGGCUGAUAGCACAACCAUAUAUUCUUUCUCUUAGGUAGAAAGUCCUCUAUGUUUGAGAGCAAGAGCUUUACUAAAAUAGGCUAUAGGUCUGCCAGACUGCAUCAAUACAGCUCCUAUCCUAGUGGAGCAUGCAUCAGUCUCCACUAUAAAAGGCUUAGUGAAGUCAGCUAGAGCCAGGACUGGUACUGUUGCCAUGGCUUUUUUCAAUUGCUGAAAAGCCACUUCUGCUUCUUCAUUCCAUUGAAAUGCAUUUCUUUUGAGUAAGUUUGUUAAGGGUCUGCUAAUCACCCCAUAGGACUUAACAAAGCUCCUAUAGUAGCCUGUAAGCCCUAGGAAACCUCUAAGGGCCUUAAUAGAUUUAGGCACAGGCCAGGACAACAUAACUUUAAUUUUAGCAGGAUCAGUAGCUACCCCUCUUCCUGAAAUGAUAUGUCCUAGAUAUUCCACCUUGUCUUGCCCAAAUGAACAUUUGGACAAUUUGGCAUACAACUGCUCCUUCUGUAGAACUUCUAACACUGUUCUAAGAUGAGCAUGAGUUUCUAAUGUAGGACUGUAGAAUAAUAUAUCAUCAAAGAAUACCAACACAAACUUCCUCAAAAAUGGUUUGAAAACAUGAUUCAUUAGUCUUUGAAAAGUGGCAGGUGCAUUAGUCAAGCUAAAGGGCAUGGCCUUGAACUCAUAAUACCCUAAAUGAGUUCUAAAUACAGUUUUAAAAAUAUCACCCUCACUCAUUCUGAUUUGAUGAUAACCAGCCCUUAAGUCAAUCUUUGAAUAGAUGCAAGAACCAUUGAGUUCAUCCAUUAAAUCAUCUACCAGGGUAUAGGGAAUUUGUCCUUAACUGUAAUUUUGUUAAGCUCCCUAUAGUCAAUGCAAAAUCUCCAACUACCAUCUUUCUUUUUAACUAGAAGUACUGGUGAGGAGAAUGGGGAAUGACUAGGUUGGAUGAUUCCAUUUGUCAACAUUUCAUUAACUUGUUUCUCUAUUUCAUUCUUCUGAAAAUAGUUAUAUCUGUAGGGUCUGAUACUUACAGGUGCUGCAUCAGGCUUGAGGGGAAUAGAGUGAUCAUGAUCCCUCCUUGGUAGCAAGGACUUUGGCUCUGCAAACACCUUGAGAAAGUCCUGGAGUACUGAUCUGAUUUCUUCAGGUAAUUCUGCUGCCACUUCUACUUCUUUAGCUGAGAUUAAAAAUAAGUGUGCCCACAACACCUGUCCCUUCUUCAACCAUUGUUAACCCCAGAAGCAGUCAUGGCCUGUAGCUGGCCUUCUUCAAAAUAUCCCUUCAAUUCCACUCUUUUGCCAUUGACACUCACUUGGAGUCUAUAGCCAAUAAAAUCAAAUGAGACUGGAUUGUGCUUCCUUAUCCAGUCUACUCCCAAUACCAUGUCACAACCUCCCACAUCUAACAAUCUUAGCUUGUGCUCAAAUUCAAUACCAUGUAUUUUCCAUUUGAAUGAAAAGCAGAAAUGAUAGCUCAUCAAAUGACGGCCAUUAGCUGCAGUAACCCUCAUAGGUGCAUCUUUCUUAAUUACACACCCCAGCUGUUUUGCACAACUGCUAGCCAUAAAACUAUGAGUGCUGCCACUAUCAGCUAAAAUUAUCAACUUUUGUUUCCCAUACAUCCCUUUUAAUUUGAUGGUAUUAGAGGUCAUAGUUCCUAAUAAGGCAUUGAGGCUUAUGGCUUCAUCAAUUAUCUCCUCUUGCAUAUUCUCCACUUCUUCUAUUUCUUCUAUUCUCUGACUUUCCUCUAUUGCCUCCUGAUCAGUAGUACCAUGCAAAAUGUUCAAUUGCUUAUCCUUGCAUUGAUGACCUGGGAAGUAUUUCUCCCCACACCUAUAGCAUUCACCCAUGGUCUUUCUUGCUUCAAACAAUUUAUUACCAUAGAUGGUGGAAUUAGAAUAGCCCUCUUUCUGUAUAUUUCCUACUGUUCUGCCCCCUGUUGUCCUAGUAUGUGAAUUAUAUUGGGUUGACUGUCUUCCUGUACCCCCCUUUAUUCUUUUUAUUUAUUGAAUCCAACAUUUCCUCUUUAUGUCUAGCCUUUUCUACAGCUUGACUUAUGGAAAAUGGGUCAAGCAUUUUGACUGUAUGCCUGAUUUCUUCCUUAAGUCCUUCAAUGAAAAAUCCUAGAAAGAAUUCUUCAGGAAUGGUUGGGUGUUUGAUUAGUACCCAAGUCUUCAAAUCUUCAAACUUCUCUAGAUAUUCAUUCACAGUUCCCCUUUGCUCAAUUCUCUUAAAUUUUCCCAGUAGAUUUAGAUGACUAUUUUCGGAAUCAUUAAAUCUUUUACAAAUUUCCUCAACAAAAUCUGGCCAUCUCACCAUUCCUCUACUCAAUUGAUAGGAGAAAAACCAAGACUCAGCCCUCCCAUUUAAGUGAAGAACUGUAGUGUCUAAUUUUUGUUGCGGGUCAAUUAUACGAUUAUAAUGGAAGUACCUUUCACAUUUUCACAGCCAAGAUCUGGGAUCUCCCUCUUCAAAGUAAGGGCAAUCCACUUUAGCAGCAACACUGUUUGAGUCUAGAAGAAUUCUCCUGUGGUUCCAUCAUCCUCAUUUUGCUGCUCGAUCCAUCCAUUUGGUGAGCCUCAACUGGAGCACUACCAAGGAUUCCAUCCUUGCUCACGAACAACUUAUCCAUCAUGAUGUCAAAUUUGUGAUUUAGAUCAUCCAUUUUGGAAUCAGUGGAUUCCAAUUUCUUAUUUGUUUCUGCCAUGUAAUUGUGUAACUGGGUCUCCAGUUUUUGACAUUUUCUUCUGUGGAUUUGGCUUGAGUUUCUGGUGCUGUCAUGGUACCAGGAUUCAACUCUGAUACCAAUUGUAAUAUACUAGAAUUUGAAAGAAAUAAUGGAAAGAAUAGGAUUUCUUUAUUGAUUUGUAAUAGAAUUGAGAUUGUUACGAUGUAUUUCUAUAAUCGAACUACAUUGACGCCAUUGUUAUACCUGAAAGAAGGAGAAGAGAAAGUGGUUAGAAAUGAGAGAGAGAGAGAUAGGUAGAGAGAGAAUUGGUUAGGAGUUGUAACUGAAAUUUACCAGAAUUAGUCUCAUUCUUCCUUCCUUCUUCUGCGUAUUAAUACUCCUCACUUAAGCUGAAUUAUUAAUUGGGCUAUUUGUAAAUGGGCCUGCUCUAUUCUAUCUCCGUUGGCCCAGUAAUUGUAAGACCAAUUGAGCCCCAAAGCUUAGUCUGGUCCACUUAUGAUACAACCCUCAAUAUAGAAAUAAGGUCCACAUAUAGGAAUAUCUACCUACUUUCCUAAUUCAUUUCUUCAACAUUACAAGAUGCAUGUUUGUUUUUAAAAUAGUGCCCAUAUUAUUUUUCCAACUUGCCAAAAAAAAAAAAAAACUAUAUUCUUCAAUGUUGACCUAUAUCUCAUCCCACGGCCAACACCCUUUUCUGCAUCAAAUUCAUAAACAUAUAUUUUCUCCUUCUUUAGCCCAACACCGUGCAUUGACUAUUCUUCUAGAUAUUUCCUUGUAUACUUUUUGAGUUUUCUUGUGAAGAAGAAACAACAAUUCUUCGGGAAUAAAUAUGGUUGACAAUAGAAAAAAGUAUUUAUGGGGAAUGGUUUUAGAGUUUAUAAAGUGGAUCGGCAAAGAAACUAGGUUGAAAAAGUUGUAUAGGUAAAAAGUGAACCUACCAAAUGGACAAAUUAAAUAUUUACACAUGGCAGACUGCCAAAUUGCAUAUAUGAAAACUAUCAAUGGAUUGGAGGGCUGUCUGAAGAAUUAAUUCAAGGUCAAAUGAGUCAAAAUUAUUGAUAUCAAUUCCAACUGAGGAGUCAACAAGAGAAGUUUUACCGUAAAGUCUCGUAUGUACGGAUAGAAACAAAGAAAUGGUCAAUCCUAAAUAAGAAGAGAUUCGACAUUAGUUACAAAGAUGGCUACAAAACACACCUCCAAAAGAGAAGUAAAACAAUCGUUACAAUAGUAACUCAAAGUAAGAGUCGGGAUCGAUCUACAAAGAGUUUAUAUAGUUAUUAAGAUAGAUGCCUAAGAACGAGACUUAUCAUAUCUUUAAUUAGCUUUCAACCAAAAGUAUGAGUUAAUUAAUCCAUGGAUUUCAUUAACUAUUAUCGUAAGAGGCAAUUCAACAAACACGUAACAAGCGAGAAUUAACUAAGAGAAUGACAAACCUAGAGUUUUAUUCUUUACCUAGGUGUUUCACUAGAUGGAUAUUAUCUACUGAGCUUGAUUGGGUGAUUGGAAAUAUUAUGAUACACACUCUAAUUUACUCUCUUGAUGCUUCUCAAUUAUUAAGUGGACUAAUUAAAUGCUCUCUCGAGUCAAUAGAAUUGCAUUAAGCUUAGGUGUUGUUGUAUCCUAGUCAAGAGAUCCCUAUCUCUAACUCACUCUCUUUAAUUAGAUCUAAUCAAACUCUCAAUUAAUCUAAUUCUUUGUUAGCAAAAUUGCUAAAUUUCAACUCCUCUUUCUCAAGUAUGAGUCAAAUCACAAGGGAAUGAAUCAAUAUUUGCAACCACUAGUUCACAUUAUAAAAAUGGUUAAAUAAUAACUAAUCCAAUCUCAAACAAGCUCAAUAUUAAAUGCCCAUAAAGUUUCACACAAUAGAGUGCAAGUUCAAUGCCGAGUUGAUGGAACCGGGCAUGCACAUGAGGCUUGGAUUGCAGGUCAUCCCCAAGAGAGGCAGUUUCAAGUACCUUGGGUCGGUUAUCCAGGAGAACUGGGAGAUCGACGAGGAGAUCACACAUCGUAUAUGAGUGGGAUAGAUGAAAUGGAGGUCAGCAUCCGGAGUCUUAUGUAACAAGAAAGUGCCAUCGAUACUCAAAGGUAAGUUUUAUAGAGUAGUGGUUAGACCAGCCAUGUUGUAUAGGGUAGAGUGUUGGCCAGUUAAGAACUUACAUAUAUAGAAGAUGAGAGUAACAGAAAUGAGGAUAUUGAGGUGGACGUGUGGGCACACUAGGACUGAUAAGAUUAGUAAUGAAGAUAUUCAGGAGAAGGUGGGCGUGACUCCUAUAGAUGAUAAGAUGCAGAAAGCGAGGCUCAGAUGGUUCGGGCAUAUACGGAGAAGAAGCCCUGAUACCUGGUAAGAAGGUGUGAGCGGUUGGCUUUGGCGAGUACGAGAAGAGGUAAAGGGCGACCUAAGAAGUACUGGGGAGAUGCGAUCAGAAAGGACAUGGCGAAGUUUCAGAUUUUCGAGGACAUGACCCUUGAUAGGAAGGUGUGGAAGUCGAGCAUUAGGAUUGUAGGUUAGGAGGAGGUAGUUGAGCAUUUUUCUUCUUCGUACCGGAUGUGGUUAGUCUGAUAGGGUUUGUCUUAGACUGCUAGAGGUUAAUGUUGCGUUCACUCUAUUCGUCCAUUUUUUAUGGCACCGGGCCUUAUUUAUUGGUUAUUAUUAUUGCGUCUCAUCUAUUUUCUGGUUCUUAUGAUGCUGUUAUUAUUUCUGUGAUUUCUGUCGAUGGUACUAAUAUAUUGUAUCUUUUUGUCUUGUUCGUUUUCUUGAGCUGAGGGUCUAUUGGAAACAGCCUCUCUACUCUAUCGAGAUAGGGAUAAAGUAUGCGUACACAAUAUCCUCCCCAGACCUCUCACAUGUGGGAUUUUACUGGGUUGUUAUUGUAGUUAUUGUUGUUGAGUAACUACUAAGAAGGUGCUAAGAGAGGGUGGAGUUAUUGUCACUGGUUAAAGGCAUAGGAUCUGUUGGCAGAGGGGUAAAAAGGGGAAAGUAGUGAAUUAAGGGAAAACCCAAGACUAAACUCUAUAUAAAGUCUGCAUUUCCUUUUUAAGAGGCAGUUUAAAGAUUAACUUGGAGAGAUUUUAGAGACGAUAAAAAUACUUUUUUUUUCUCUGAGAAAGAGUUAUAGAAAUCAUUAAUCUAAACACAUUUCUUUCCUGAAGAUUUCUGAAAUUCCAAUAAAAGCUAGUGAUAGAUGGUGAUUGUUUGAGUAUGAGUCAAUGAUUUUACUGAUUAUUCUGGAUUUUUUUUUAUUGAUUUCUCGGUAUUUCAAGUUGGAGAUUGCUGUUGUUUCUUAAGUUGUUCAGCCUCAUUUCUUUGCUUUCUUAUUCGAUUAUUGUUCUGCUAUAAUCUGCAUUCAAUGUACUAUUUGUAUCACCAUGUAAUUUUUUAGAGUACCUAUAAAUAUAGUUGUGUGAAAUUAUCAGUAUUAGUUAUAUCCAUUGUCACACCUCCUUUUUCCCGAGGGGAUAAAGUGAUAUUAUUCGAAAUGAGAUUAUUUAUUUAAUUUAGAGUCGCCACUUGAAAUAAUUAUGAUGGUGUCCCAAGUCACCAGAUUAUUUUAAAUCCCAAAUCGAGGAAAUUUGACUCUAUUUUAAAGUCCGCAAAACCAGAAGACCGGUUAAGGAACUCUGUUAACCCGAUAGAAGGUGUUAGGAAUUUCCGGAUUCCGUGGUUUUAGCACGCUCAACUAUCAAUAAUUGGCCUAAUUAUUUGAUCUAAUACAUACUUUAAAACCUAUUGUGCAUUUAAUGCUUCUAUACUGCUUUUAAUUAUUCAAUCAGUUUUUAAGAUUUAUGGAGUUUAUUUAAAUAAGUCGCGAUGUCGCGCACUUAUUGUUUUUGUACAUAUUGCGAAUCGCGUCACGUGAAAUGCACCCGCGAUUUACAACAUGUUUAUUAUUAUUAUUAUUAUUUGAAGUUGUGGCCGAGUCACGUGAAACACACACUCGAAUUGUGAUUUACGUAUCAUGACUAUGUUACGGGAACGGUACCCAUAGUCACUAUGAUUUAUUUAUUAAUCGCGCCUAAAGUAAACUAUGAUAUUAGAGAGUUCUUCAUUUCUUAAGCUUGUUCAAGAUUAUUUGUGACAGAAAAUAGGCCCUACUGCCUGUUUGGGGCCGAAGACUUUUAAACUCAAGUCUAUCAUUUUAAUAUAGGAGUCAAAGAAUCAGUUAAUAACUAAGAUGCUAAUCAUAGAAAAAAAAUCAGUUAAUAGCAAAUUUGGCAAGCCGUACACAUAAUCUAAUGAAAAUGGGAUAUCUUUCUGAAUAGCUUGCAAAAUCAACACUCAAAAUGAUUAUUUUUGCACUUAUAUCCUGUUACAAAUAUGGUCAUAUCUUGACAUUAUCGGUGUAACUAUUUUACAGUAAUAACCAAAUCCUAACUUUCAAAUUCUCCUCACUUUUGCUUAUGCUACUUUUGUAAAUCCUUUAAUAUGAACUCCCCUUUUAACACCAAUCAUUUGAUUUUAACAGACCCAGUGUAAAUCAAAGUGACAUCAGACUAAAUCAAUAUUUAAUGACAAAUGAAUUCAAUCACAACAAAUCACAUUUUUUGAUAAAUUAGCUAGCAUUUUAUUCACACUGAAACUAACUCAAGGCAGCCAAAUCCAAAUAGCAUUAAAAGAUAAAGUGAAGUAGUCAUGAUUUUAUAUUAAAACAAAUCUGAAAAAAUACAAAUAGAAGAGAACAUACAUACUUGGGCUAGAAUUGACCUUCGAGGAAGGCAAAAACAAAUAAAGGCCAAAUUGGCAAUUCGGCAAUCAAGAGCAGCUCAGCAAAGUGACGUCCACAACAUCAAGGGAGAUUAAAAUCAGACUCAUGCGAAAUGACCAGCUCAAAAGCAAGUACAUAAUUAAACUUUUACAAAAAUUAAGGUUCAAAACGAUUUAUAAGAAAAUAACUGAGUUUUUUAGUGGAAGUUUGUGGUAGUUGACGACAGCGUAACGACGGAAGAUACUGCCGGAAACACCAAAGAGUAGAAGAGGUUUUUAUUUUUAUUUUUUUAUUUUUACUCUAUGGGAAUGGGGAUAGGGGUGACGGCUAGGGUUCCGAAAAAUUUGGGGAGAUUUUUCGUCUCAGUGAGGAGGGAGGGGCGGCCGGCUAGGGUUUCUAGGAGAUGGGGAGGGUCUGCAUAUGGAGAGGAAGGGGGUAGAGGGGCGGCUAGGGUUAGUCCUAAAGGGGGGAGGGACCGGUCCA
rnacentral:lncRNA from 1 species